rnacentral:rRNA from 1 species
AGAGUUUGAUCCUGGCUCAGGAUGAACGCUAGCUACAGGCUUAACACAUGCAAGUCGAGGGGCAGCGAUGGUCUUAGCUUGCUAAGGCCGAUGGCGACCGGCGCACGGGUGAGUAACACGUAUCCAACCUGCCGUCUACUCUUGGACAGCCUUCUGAAAGGAAGAUUAAUACAAGAUGGCAUCACGAGUCCACAUGUUCACAUGAUUAAAGGUAUUCCGGUAGACGAGUGGGGAUGCGUUCCAUUAGAUAGUAGGCGGGGUAACGGCCCACCUAGUCUUCGAUGGAUAGGGGUUCUGAGAGGAAGGUCCCCCCACAUUGGAACUGAGACACGGUCCAAACUCCUACGGGAGGCAGCA